rnacentral:rRNA from 1 species
AUGCACGCUGGCGGCGUGCUUAACCCAUGCAAGUCGCACGAGAAGUGAAGACGGAAACCUUCGGGCGGAAGGCUUUAUUUCGAGUGGCGGACGGGUGAGUAACGCGUGGGUAACCUGCCUCAUACAGGGGGAUAACAGUUGGAAACGACUGUUAAUACCGCAUAAGACCACAGCACCGCAUGGUGCGGGGGUAAAAACUCCGGUGGUAUGAGAUGGACCCGCGUUCGAUUAGCCAGUUGGCGGGGUAACGGCCCACCAAAGCGACGAUCGAUAGCCGAUCUGAGAGGAUGACCGGCCACAUUGGGACUGAGACACGGCCCAAACUCCUACGGGAGGCAGCAGUGGGGAAUAUUGCACAAUGGGGGAAACCCUGAUGCAGCGACGCCGCGUGAGUGAAGAAGUAUUUCGGUAUGUAAAGCUCUAUCAGCAGGGAAGAAAAUGACGGUACCUGAGUAAGAAGCCCCGGCUAACUACGUG